rnacentral:rRNA from 2 species
GAACGAGCUCUCCCAAAUUGAUUUUAUGCUUGCAUAAAUGAUUUUUGGAUUCGGAGCGAGUGGCGAACUGGUGAGUAACACGUGGGUAACCUGCCCCGAAGCGGGGGAUAACAUUUGGAAACAAGUGCUAAUACCGCAUAAUUAGUUGGAACCGCAUGGUUCCAACUUGAAAGAUGGCUCUGCUAUCACUUUGGGAUGGACCCGCGCCGUAUUAGUUAGUUGGUGAGAUAAAAGCCCACCAAGACAAUGAUACGUAGCCGACCUGAGAGGGUAAUCGGCCACAUUGGGACUGAGACACGGCCCAGACUCCUACGGGAGGCAGCAGUAGGGAAUCUUCCACAAUGGACGAAAGUCUGAUGGAGCAACGCCGCGUGAGUGAUGAAGGUUUUCGGAUCGUAAAACUCUGUUGUUAAAGAAGAACAAGUGUUAGAGUAACUGUUAACACUUUGACGGUAUUUAACCAGAAAGCCACGGCUAACUACGUGCCAGCAGCCGCGGUAAUACGUAGGUGGCAAGCGUUGUCCGGAUUUAUUGGGCGUAAAGCGAGCGCAGGCGGUUUUGUAAGUCUGCUGUGAAAGCCCUCAGCUCAACUGAGGAAGUGCAGUGGAAACUACAAAACUUGAGUACAGAAGAGGAAAGUGGAACUCCAUGUGUAGCGGUGAAAUGCGUAGAUAUAUGGAAGAACACCAGUGGCGAAGGCGGCUUUCUGGUCUGUUACUGACGCUGAGGCUCGAAAGCAUGGGUAGCGAACAGGAUUAGAUACCCUGGUAGUCCAUGCCGUAAACGAUGAAUACUAGGUGUUGGAGGGUUUCCGCCCUUCAGUGCCGCAGCUAACGCAUUAAGUAUUCCGCCUGGGGAGUACGACCGCAAGGUUGAAACUCAAAGGAAUUGACGGGGGCCCGCACAAGUGGUGGAGCAUGUGGUUUAAUUCGAUGCUACGCGAAGAACCUUACCAGCUCUUGACAUCUUUUGCCAACCCAAGAGAUUGGGCGUUCCCUUCGGGGACAGAAUGACAGGUGGUGCAUGGUUGUCGUCAGCUCGUGUCGUGAGAUGUUGGGUUAAGUCCCGCAACGAGCGCAACCCUUAUUAUUAGUUGCCAGCAUUUAGUUGGGCACUCUAGUGAGACUGCCGGUGAUAAACCGGAGGAAGGUGGGGACGACGUCAAAUCAUCAUGCCCCUUAUGAGCUGGGCUACACACGUGCUACAAUGGAUGGUACAACGAGUCGCGAAACCGCGAGGUCAAGCUAAUCUCUUAAAGCCAUUCUCAGUUCGGAUUGCAGGCUGCAACUCGCCUGCAUGAAGUUGGAAUCACUAGUAAUCGU